rnacentral:rRNA from 1 species
UAGCCUUGACAUAGACAGAAUUUAGUAGAGAUAUAAAAGUGCCAGUUUACUGGAGCUGUUAUACAGGUGCUGCACGGCUGUCGUCAGCUCGUGUCGUGAGAUGUUGGGUUAAGUCCCGCAACGAGCGCAACCCUCGUGUCUAGUUACUAACAGUUCGGCUGAGGACUCUAGACAGACUGCCUGGGUAACCAGGAGGAAGGUGAGGACGACGUCAAGUCAUCAUGGCCCUUAUGGCUAGGGCUACACACGUGCUACAAUGGGGUAUACAGAGAGCCGCAAUACCGCGAGGUGGAGCAAAUCUUAAAAAUAUCUCCCAGUUCGGAUAGCAGUCUGCAACUCGACUGCUUGAAGUUGGAAUCGCUAGUAAUCGUGAAUCAGCAAUGUCACGGUGAAUACGUUCCCGGGUCU